GACGAACGCUGGCGGCGUGCUUAACACAUGCAAGUCGAACGGAAAGGCCCUGCUUUUGUGGGGUGCUCGAUUGGCGAACGGGUGAGUAACACGUGAGUAACCUGCCCUUGACUUUGGGAUAACUUCAGGAAACUGGGGCUAAUACCGGAUAGGAGCUCCUGCUGCAUGGUGGGGGUUGGAAAGUUUCGGCGGUUGGGGAUGGACUCGCGGCUUAUCAGCUUGUUGGUGGGGUAGUGGCUUACCAAGGCUUUGACGGGUAGCCGGCCUGAGAGGGUGACCGGCCACAUUGGGACUGAGAUACGGCCCAGACUGCUACGGGAGGCAGCAGUGGGGAAUAUUGCACAAUGGGCGGAAGCCUGAUGCAGAAACGCCGCGUGCGGGAUGACGGCCUUCGGGUUGUAAACCGCUUUCGCCUGUGACGAAGCGUGAGUGACGGUAAUGGGUAAAGAAGCACCGGCUAACUACGUG
rnacentral:rRNA from 1 species